ensembl:lncRNA
GAAAAUGCAUGAAUAGAGAGGUUUUUUUACUUAGAACUUCAGAAGCACUCUGCAACAUCACACAGGGGAAGAACCACAGACCUGCGUUUUCGUACAUUAUAUUUGUGUAUUAUACGUUUAUUCACAUCUUUGUCUUUCAUCCACCAUCAUAACCAGCCAUGAGGGCAUCGUUGAUAUUUCUAUUUGUGAUACUGAUGGGUGACCAAAGUCAAUGCCAAAGUGGGGAUUAUGAAAUUGAAUACGAACAUGAACCGGGUCCAGACAUCCUGGGACUGAUCAAACAGACUGCACUGGGCAAGGAAAUCAGUGACAAGAUCUCAGAGAGUGUGGAUGCAAUCAAUCAAUAUGCCCAAGCCGUGGGAAGCAAGGCCCAGUCUAUGUUUGAUAACCUGGGUCGUCAAGCUGAACGUGAAGCCAUGUUUGCCAAACAAGAUAUCCAGAACAACGCCAUUGCUGCUGUCCAGAACGUCCACGGCCGGCUAACGCAGAGUGCUGGGGACAUGCGGCUGAAGACUGAGUCACUCAUCGAGGCGGUUGCACACUCCCUGCAGAUUCAUCUUCACGUGUUUUGGGAGUCACUGACAAAAGGAAAUGAAACACACCCUCUGUUCCAGUGAGAUGCCCAAUGCCAGUGUGAUGGAGGCCCAUGAGUGUGCAUGUCAAUCUUACCUAGAUUAGGUGGGCCAUACCCGCUUAAUACUAUUUAUGAUGUGAAUGAUAAUCUUGCUCUCUCAUUUUUAUCACAACAAAUUCAUCUAGCAGCAGUUUUUCAUUGCUGUUUGUAUUCCUCAAUAACUGAAUGGAGUGUUAAGAGUUGAAUGCUAAGUACACAGAGUGCAAUAAACUCUACUCUCAAACUGUACUCUCAUACUGUUCAUUUAUUAUCUGUUCAUUUAGGCUUCCGCUGAACUACAGAGGCAAAAACAGUAGGCCAGUAUUACUGGGAGUGGACUUUCUUCGGUGCACUAUGGAGCUUCAUGGCUAAAGAUAUGUUACACAACGCUUCAAGAAAUCAUGCAGUUGCAACUACGACUCCGCUCACACAGGAUUGAAGAGUUGCGAUGAAGGUGUCGGCAGCAGUCGUGCUGGUUUUGAUCAGUGCGGCUUGCCAUGGCUAUGAGGAGCAUGUGGCCCUGGAGAACAGCCUAUUAGAAGCCUGGGGACUGGACGAGACUGACCCUUGGGAUUCCCUGAGGGGGUUAGGGGCUGAGGUGCACCGAGCAUUUACACACGCAAUGGGCGGUGAGGUCAGGAACGAGAUCUCUGGGGGCGUUGACACGGCCGUCCGCUUUGGGAUGUCCAUGUUGAACGACGCAAGAGAUACGGGGGAGAGCGUGUGGGAGCAGAUCUCGGAGGAGGCAGAAAAGCUGGACAGUCAGCUGGAGGAGGACAUGAGCCGCCGGUUGGAGGCCAUCGAGAGUCACGCCGAGGCCUACACUCAGGAGGCGCGCAGGAAGAUCGACCAGAAUCUACUGGAGAUCCAGAAGAACCCCAUCCCUGUGGUCCAGACCUUCCAGGGCCAGCUGGCCCAGACGGCGCUGAAUAUCCGCACGAGCGCUGAGUUCUUUAUCGGAGAGUUUGCGUCACUCUGGGAACCUGCUCUACAGCAAGAUUAAGCUCGCUGCUUAGAUUUUUUCCUUACUUUAGAAGCUCAGCCAUACUGUAUUUUUAUGGAGAUCAUGCUAUGGCUUGAUGUCACCUUGUUUGAAUUCCAGACACUUUACUGUUACAAGAGAUUUCCUUUGCGGUAUUCAGAGUCAAGGGCUUCAGCAAGAGUUGUGUGUGAGAAAUGCAAUUGCAGCUGGCUCAGAAGAGCAGCAGAAUCUGGCUCCCUACGCAGAGGAGCUGAAGGGAAAACUGGAUCCCUUAGCUCAGGACCUGAAGACCCAGCUCACCACAUUGUGGGAUUCCUUCACCAAGAACAGCCAGUAAGAACAGUGUCCCAGAUCUGGCCCUUGCCAGCGGAUGUUUAAUUUAUGCUAACCUAAGAGACUCACUGGCUCAAGACGAUCCCUAUCAGACCUCUGCCAACCAGAUGUUACUCUUGAUGAUCACUUCUUUGAGAUUGUUAUACUAGAGAUGACAGUGACAGAGAAGAGGAUGGUAAUAGUUUCAAAAUAUAUUUAAACAAUAUGUGUGCCACAAGAAUUGUCACAGUUUAAGUCAGACAGUUAAGAAUGUACACCUUGGUCGACACUCCUCUACCACGCCCAAUCGCUAUGACGUCUUCAUUUGAAACUAGAAUUUUAGUUGACAUGGAUUCACUGUGACCUUCCCUCAACAUCAGCAUAAAAUUAGGUCCCAUUUAAAAUAUGGAUGUGAAUAUUCUGUAUUUGAUGUCGAAAUGUCGCAUAAUGGCUCCACUCUACUUGUGUUAGCUUCAGGCACUGAAAAUAUUAAGCCUUCCCGGUUGAAUCUUUUUGUUGGAUUUUUUUUUAUUUUUUUUUAUUGUCACAUGGGCUUCAAAUGUUUCAUUUUAAAAGAAUGACAAAAUAAAUGAUUGC